rnacentral:lncRNA from 1 species
GGACGACUGUCUUCCGCCUCAACUGUGGAGCCUCGCCGACCGUUAGUCCUCACAGCCACCUCAGGGGCAACCGACGCAGCGCCACCUCAUCGUGUCCGCCAUCUUGGGGCGACGGGCAGAAGUCCAGGACUAGGAGCCUCAGCCGGCGGACGCCAGGAAACAGGCUAAGGAGUUGGCUGAGACGAUGUGGUCUGACAAGCAAAAUUGACUUUCUUGUAGUACAGAUCUGCUGGAUUGCUUCAGCUUUCCUACGUCUGACUUUGAAAGUAUUUUAUUAGAAGAAUUCGUAGAAGUAGAAUCCGUUUGUCUUCAGUUAAACAAAAGAAGAACCUCAUUGCUUUCCAACUGGGCCCCGGCCAUUUUCCAGUUGAAACAUCAAAUAUUUUAUUUGUGUCUUUCACUGCCAAUUAAAGGACAACAGAAAUGGUACAGGUAAAUCAUCUUCUCUUUGGAGGUAUUUCCACAGAAGACUUUAAUUCAAGCAUUUCCUAGAGUAUGUACCAUAAAGUCUUAUCUGCAGAUUUAGACUUGAAUAUGCAUUACAUCAUUGGAAAAUAUUAUG